rnacentral:rRNA from 1 species
UACGUAGGGUGCGAGCGUUAAUCGGAAUUACUGGGCGUAAAGCGUGCGCAGGCGGUUUUGUAAGUCAGAUGUGAAAUCCCCGGGCUUAACCUGGGAACUGCGUUUGAAACUACAAGGCUAGAGUGUGGCAGAGGGGGGUGGAAUUCCACGUGUAGCAGUGAAAUGCGUAGAUAUCGGAAGGAACACCAGUGGCGAAAGCGGCUUGCUGGUCCAGCACCGACGUUCAGGCACGAAAGCGUGGGGAGCAAACAGG